AACCUCCGCAAUGUGAGAAAUCGCGACGGGGGGAUCCCAAGUGCCAUUCUUAACGGGAUGGCUUUUCAUUAGUGUAAAGAGCUUUUGGAAUAAGAGCUGGGCAAGACCGGUGCCAGCCGCCGCGGUAACACCGGCAGCUCUAGUGGUAACAAUUUUUAUUGGGCCUAAAGCGUCCGUAGCCGGUUUAAUAAGUCUCUGGUGAAAUCCUGUAGCUUAACUGUGGGAAUUGCUGGAGAUACUAUUAGACUUGAGACCGGGAGAGGUUAGAGGUACUCCCAGGGUAGAGGUGAAAUUCUGUAAUCCUGGGAGGACCGCCUGUUGCGAAGGCGUCUAACUGGAACGGUUCUGACGGUGAGGGACGAAAGUUAGGGGCGCGAACCGGAUUAGAUACCCGGGUAGUCCUAACUGUAAACGAUGCGGACUUGGUGUUGGGGUGGCUUUGAGCUGCUCCAGUGCCGAAGGGAAGCUGUAAGUCCGCCGCCUGGGAGUACGGUCGCAAGACUGAACUUAAAGGAAUU
rnacentral:rRNA from 1 species